CAAAAUCUGAAUCUGCUAUGAAAAUAUGGUUACUCAAAAAUUUCAUUUGUGGAUCACAAAAUAUAAAUUCAGUUGUGAAGAAAUAAGGAAGAGAACAUAUUAACUAUAUGAGUAUGAAAAAUUAUGAACAAAUAUUUUUGUUCCAAAGAGACUGAUAUCAGAAAAAAUCUGCAAUUUGGUAUAAAAAUUUGAGAUUUGAACGUCAAGAAAACAAUAUAGAAAAGUAACACAUCUUUCGACUGUA
rnacentral:lncRNA from 1 species